AUUGAACGCUGGCGGCAUGCUUUACACAUGCAAGUCGAACGGUAACAGGCCGCAAGGUGCUGACGAGUGGCGAACGGGUGAGUAAUGCAUCGGAACGUGCCCAGUCGUGGGGGAUAACGCAGCGAAAGCUGCGCUAAUACCGCAUACGAUCUAUGGAUGAAAGCGGGGGACCGUAAGGCCUCGCGCGAUUGGAGCGGCCGAUGUCAGAUUAGGUAGUUGGUGGGGUAAAGGCUCACCAAGCCAACGAUCUGUAGCUGGUCUGAGAGGACGACCAGCCACACUGGGACUGAGACACGGCCCAGACUCCUACGGGAGGCAGCAGUGGGGAAUUUUGGACAAUGGGGGCAACCCUGAUCCAGCCAUGCCGCGUGCGGGAAGAAGGCCUUCGGGUUGUAAACCGCUUUUGUCAGGGAAGAAACGCUCUGGGCUAAUACCUCGGGGUAAUGACGGUACCUGAAGAAUAAGCACCGGCUAACUACGUGCCAGCAGCCGCGGUAAUAC
rnacentral:rRNA from 1 species